UUCGCCCUUAGAGUUUGAUCCUGGCUCAGAACGAACGCUGGCGGCAGGCUUAACACAUGCAAGUCGAACGCCCCUUUCGGGGGGAGUGGCAGACGGGUGAGUAACACGUGGGAACGUACCUCUUUGUUCGGAAUAACUCAUGGAAACGUGAGCUAAUACCGGAUACGCCCUUUUGGGGAAAGAUUUAUCGCAGAGAGAUCGGCCCGCGUCUGAUUAGCUAGUUGGUGAGGUAAUGGCUCACCAAGGCGACGAUCAGUAGCUGGUCUGAGAGGAUGAUCAGCCACACUGGGACUGAGACACGGCCCAGACUCCUACGGGAGGCAGCAGUGGGGAAUAUUGGACAAUGGGGGCAACCCUGAUCCAGCCAUGCCGCGUGAGUGAUGAAGGCCUUAGGGUUGUAAAGCUCUUUUAUCCGGGAAGAUAAUGACUGUACCGGAAGAAUAAGCCCCGGCUAACUUCGUGCCAGCAGCCGCGGUAAUACGAAGGGGGCUAGCGUUGUUCGGAAUCGCUGGGCGUAAAGGGCGCGUAGGCGGACGAUUAAGUCAGGGGUGAAAUCCCGGGGCUCAACCUCGGAAUUGCCCUUGAUACUGGUUGUCUUGAGAUUGGAAGAGGUAAGUGGAAUUGCGAGUGUAGAGGUGAAAUUCGUAGAUAUUCGCAAGAACACCGGUGGCGAAGGCGACUUACUGGUCCAUAUCUGACGCUGAGGCGCGAAAGCGUGGGGAGCAAACAGGAUUAGAUACCCUGGUAGUCCACGCCGUAAACGAUGGAUGCCAGCUGUUGGGGAGCAUGCUCUUCAGUGGCGCAGUCAAC
rnacentral:rRNA from 1 species